UGCCAGGCUUUGGCUUCCCCAGCUUCUCCUUAACCUCCCACCCGCCACUGCCCUGGGGUCAUUUGACAGAUACCCAUGAUGUCCAGGGGCACAUCCCCUCAAUUCUGCCUUUCCACCCGCAUCCUAAACAUCUUGAAGCCAAGAUGCAGCUUGCAAUUCGAGUUGCAAGAGUUUUGUUUGGUCAUACAUAAAAUACCAUGUGGCUCAUCACUGCAGAUAUGUGGACUGCAGUGUGGCUUAUCACUGCAGAUGUGUGGACUCCAUGAAACGCAGCCUGUGUGGGGCCCUGGCACUGGAGAGAGUGCCAGAGGGGAGAACUUUCUCAGCACCUACUCUAUGCCCAUGUCAUGCAAUCACCAGCUCACACUGCUACUUAUUGGUACCAGUGUUCCCUGCUUAGAAAUGAGUAAACGGAGUCACAGGCUCAUUAACUUGUUCCAUCUCCUGCAGCUAAGAAAGAGCCAGAGCCAAAUUCUGAGCCCAAACAUCCAUGCUGUGCAUGUGUAAUUGCUUUUGCCAUCCCACAAGAACCCCCCUCCCC